CCUACGGGGGGCAGCAGUGAGGAAUAUUGGUCAAUGGCCGGAAGGCUGAACCAGCCAAGCCGCGUGAGGGACGAAGGCCCUACGCAUUGUAAACCUCUUUUGUCAGGGAGCAAGGUCCAGGUCGGGACCUGCUGUGAGAGUACCUGAAGAAAAAGCAUCGGCUAACUCCGUGCCAGCAGCCGCGGUAAUACGGAGGAUGCGAGCGUUAUCCGGAUUUAUUGGGUUUAAAGGGUGCGCAGGCGGAGUGACAAGUCAGCGGUAAAAGCCCGGGGCUCAACCCCGGCCCGCCGUUGAAACUGUGUACCUUGAGUGCGCGAAGGGUUGGCGGAAUGCGGGGUGUAGCGGUGAAAUGCAUAGAUAUCACGCAGAACUCCGAUCGCGAAGGCAGCCUACCGGCGCGCAACUGACGCUCAGGCACGAAAGCGUGGGUAUCGAACAGGAUUAGAUACCCCAGUAGUC
rnacentral:rRNA from 1 species